UACGAAGGGGGCUAGCGUUGUUCGGAAUUACUGGGCGUAAAGCGCGUGUAGGCGGGUCUUUUAAGUCAGGGGUGAAAUGCCAAGGCUCAACCUUGGAACUGCCUUUGAUACUGGAGAUCUUGAGUCCGGGAGAGGUGAGUGGAAUUCCUAGUGUAGAGGUGAAAUUCGUAGAUAUUAGGAAGAACACCAGUGGCGAAGGCGGCUCACUGGCCCGGUACUGACGCUGAGGCGCGAAAGCGUGGGGAGCAAACAGGG
rnacentral:rRNA from 1 species